AUCAGUCAGUUGUAGACGCA
rnacentral:scRNA from 1 species